rnacentral:rRNA from 1 species
AAGGCAAGCGGAUCUCUUAAAGCUGUUCUCAGUUCGGACUGCAGCUGCAACUCGACUGCACGAAGCUGGAAUCGCUAGUAAUCGCGGAUCAGCACGCCGCGGUGAAUACGUUCCCGGGCCUUGUACACACCGCCCGUCACACCAUGGAAGUCUGCAAUGCCCGAAGCCGGUGGCCUAACCACUUAUGUGGAAGGAGCCGUCUAAGGCAGGGCAGAUGACUGGGGUGAAGUCGUAACAAGGUACC